GGAAAAGAACAACCUCUUUACUGACGGCCGCUCUGACUCCUCACGGUCGACUCCACAUUGUUCAAUAAAACAAGUACUGACACAACAGUGGGACAAUGCAGCUGCAUCUUGAAACACUGACUCUCUGCAUACUUGGCACAGUAAUUCUGUGCAGAGCACAAUCCACAUCAACCCGAGGGGAACCAACA